rnacentral:rRNA from 1 species
ACUGAACGCUGGCGGCAGGCCUAACACAUGCAAGUCGAACGGUAGCACAGAGAGCUUGCUCUCGGGUGACGAGUGGCGGACGGGUGAGUAACGUCUGGGAAACUGCCCGAUGGAGGGGGAUAACUACUGGAAACGGUAGCUAAUACCGCAUAACGUCGCAAGACCAAAGUGGGGGACCUUCGGGCCUCACACCAUCGGAUGUGCCCAGAUGGGAUUAGCUAGUAGGUGGGGUAAUGGCUCACCUAGGCGACGAUCCCUAGCUGGUCUGAGAGGAUGACCAGCCACACUGGAACUGAGACACGGUCCAGACUCCUACGGGAGGCAGCAGUGGGGAAUAUUGCACAAUGGGCGCAAGCCUGAUGCAGCCAUGCCGCGUGUAUGAAGAAAGCCUUCGGGUUGUAAAGUACUUUCAGCGGGGAGGAAGGCGGUGAAGUUAAUAUCUUCACCGAUUGACGUUACCCGCAGAAGAAGCACCGGCUAACUCCGUGCCAGCCGCCGCCGUAA